AUUGAAUGCUGGCGGCAGGCCUAACACAUGCAAGUCGAACGAGUGGCGGACGGGUGAGUAAUGUCUGGGAAACUGCCUGAUGGAGGGGGAUAACUACUGGAAACGGUAGCUAAUACCGCAUACCAUCGGAUGUGCCCAGAUGGGAUUAGCUAGUAGGUGGGGUAAAGGCUUACAUAGGCGACGAUCCCUAGCUGGUCUGAGCGGAUGACCAUCCACACUGUAACUGAGACACGGGCCAGACUCCUACGUGAGGCAGCAGUGGGGAAUAUUGCACGAUGGGCGCAAGCCUGAUGCAGCCAGGCCGCGUGUAUGAAGAAGGCCUUCGGGUUGUAAAGUACUUUCAGCGAGGAGGCGUUACCCGCAGAAGAAGCACCGGCUAACUCCGUGCCAGCAGCCGCGGUAAUAC
rnacentral:rRNA from 1 species